GUCUUUUAGAAUAUAAUUUAAAGUCUAACCUGCCCACUGAAUUUAUUUGAAGGGCCGCGGUAUUUUGACUGUGCAAAGGUAGCAUAAUCAUUAGUCUUUUAAUUGGAGGCUUGUAUGAAUGGUUGGAUGAAACAUUAACUGUCUCAAUUUAAUAAAAAUAGAAUUUAAUUUUUAAGUUAAAAAGCUUAAAUUAAAUUAGAGGACGAGAAGACCCUAUAGAUCUUUAUAAUUAAUUAUUUAUUAUUAAUUUAGUAAAUUAAUUUUUAUUAAUUAGUUAAUUAUUUUAUUGGGGUGAUAAAUAAAUUUAGUAAACUUUAUUUUAUGAAAACAUUUAUGUAUGAAUAUUUGAUCCAUUAUUAAUGAUUAAAAGAUUAAGUUACCUUAGGGAUAACAGCGUAAUUUUUUUAGAGAGUUCUAAUCGAUAAAAAAGUUUGCGACCUCGAUGUUGAAUUAAAGGUUAAUUUUAGGUGCAGAAGUUUAAAGUUUUGGUCUGUUCGACCAUUAAAUC
rnacentral:rRNA from 1 species